ACUAGUCUCCCUUUAUUUAUUUAUCAGCACAAAUAUAACACACACACACACAUAUAUAUAUAUAUGAAAGACCACACUAUCACAAUAAUGCCGUUCAGAAGCAAACGCAGGCACUAAAGCAGAGUUCUGUUUAAGGCAGUCUGUCCAACUCAUAACUCAGAUAGACCACAGACCAGGUUUGGUGGUUAGUGUGGAAGGGAUCGACAAACCUGUUGGUGGGGUUGCCUCUGUGUGUGUGUGUGCACGCACACGCACAAAAUUCAGGCUCAGUGUGUAGUGUGUCACAAAUGUUACGAAUGCGAUGUAGUGUAGUGGGAGAACAAGAGUUUGACCAUGUUCGCCAACUUUUGUGCCGCCGAGACAAAAUCUAAGCAUUUCAACAUUUUGCUCAGCGUCUGUAUCCUUGAGUGGGCCGCUGUACAACCUAGGGGAUGGCUGUGUGUGUGUGUACACGCACGCACAUCCACGUUGCCUCUGGGCGGACCUUGCAAUACUGCUGUGAAGAGUUGGAAGACCCAGAAUGACAAUUUGUGUUAUUUCCUAGGUUUAACGUUGGAUCUUUCUGGGGAGGGGCUCUUGGUUCUUUGUGGCGAUGGUCACUGCAGAUUUUAAAGAGGAAGGAAAAUACAAGGGUCGGGUUGGAUUAAGGCGCUGCUGAAUAAAAACCACAGUGGUGGGAUUUGCACAAUGGACUGAGCUGCAGACUCUUGUCUUACUGAAGCCCGGAAGAGGUGAAGUUCAGAGAAACGCUGAACCAAAAAAAACGUAUGAGCUGUUAUCGGGGGUAACUCCAUGCGUGGCGACUUUGAAGACUUGUGGACUUCAACUCCCAGAAUUCCUCAGCCAGGCAGCCAUGUGGUCUGGAGAAUUCUGGGAGCUUGGAAGCUCACAAAUUUUAAAGUCGGCUGGUUUGGAGACACCCCUGAGUUAUAGGAUGGUUGGGAACCCAAGGCGGCGACUUAGGAAGAGAACGUGAAUCUCCUAGUAAACAGAGAUGUGGCUGCUUGGACAGCUGGAACUAGAUGUGACGAGAUCAGAUUUCCCCACCUGAGGCAAUCUUCUGAAGGACAUCAAUCCUAUAGCAGCUUCGAGGUCAUUCAUUUUUAGCACACGUUCCUUCACAGAUAAACUAAACCAGUGUUUCUCAACCUUGGUCCAUCUGAAGAUGCGUUGAGAAACACUGAACUAAACAGAACCAGCAAGGGUAUUUGGCCUUUUGACCCUCAUCUCUGGGACCACUGCGUCACAAACUGCCUGUCCCCAUUCCCCAAAACCAGUGGGAUUGAGAGCUCCACCAUCUUGUUCCUGAACCGCUUAUUCCAGCUCUUUUUGCUGGAAUAAGUUUGUUUUUUUUUAAAGCGAAUUCCAGAGAUGCAGUAAAUUUUCUGGCUUCCCACCAAGGAUGAAGAAGCACUUCAGCGCUAGACUUUUAUACCUAUAAUCAUCUUUUUAAGGGCCUAAUGCUACGGCGGCCCUAGUCCAAUCAAGGGCAUAAAAGUCGAUGGCUCUCGAGAAGAAGAACAAGAUGUUUCAAGCUCGUUAUGGGAAUGGAGGAGGAUGCUCAAGGAGAGAGCAAGGGGCAAAAAUGACAAAACAAGAGAAGGGGAAAACAGCCCUUCGCUUUGAGAUCACAACAAACCCCUGCCGGGCUAGGAAGCGGCGGUCCUUGGCACCCAUCAAAUCAAGGUACAUCUACAAGGCCACGGCGUUAUUCUGGGCGCAAAAGAACAGGCCGCAGGGAACACCUUGAAUUGCGGAGUCCACCGAUCGGCUUAGGCAACACCCGCUCACCUAGUUGAGCUCCACCAGUUAGCAGUUCUGCUCGUUUUUAAGGACUGCCGGGAAUUAAGAUGGCUGCAAAAUUGUAAUGAACAGCCUGGCAAACCCGUAAUGGAGUCCUGCAUAUGUCAGUGGUGGGUUGCUCUUAUCUUUGCUACCGCUACAACGCUCAUGGUUCAUUCGUGUACGCGGCGGACGUGCGCUGUUUGCGUGCCUGACGUGCACCACGCAGGCAUGCACAUUCCACCGCCCCUGCCAUGCCCAGCUGCUUGUUGGAGGUUGUGCAGGCAUCGCACGCAGUGCCUGUGUGGGCAAUUGGCCUAGUUGCCUUAAAAAGAGGUAAGGAACGCGGGCGGGCGGGUGAGCCAAAUAAGCCACUGUACCGGUAUGGUGGCCACACCUCCCGACUACUACCGGUACGGCUGUACCGACCGGAACCUACCCCUGGCAUACUCCCUCCUCAGUCUUCUUGUUUUUACACGUUCUCUCCAAACCUGGCAACUUUUAAGGCUUGUGGACUUCAACUCCCAGAGUUCCCCAGUCUUAAAGUUGCCAAGUUUGGAGGGCCCCUGUUCUAGAACAUACAUUUCUGUGCCGUUUCCCUUUUGGUGACGUGAGAGAUAUCCAAUUUUGGAUGGAUUUGUCCGCUGUGCCACCAAAUCCAUCCCGAAAGCCAUCAUCCAAAGGUCAGCCCCCAGCAUAAGCCUCCAAGACAAUAUUGCUAGCACACGGGGCAGAGAGGAAUAAAAGUGACCUGGCUAUCCUACGAAAGCACCGAAUGUUUAAUUGCAGAAAUAAAAGAAUGCACUGGAAAGGCUCACACCUCUUUAGUGUUUUUGCUUUGUUUUUUAAUGUGAGGCGUCUGUUUCAAGA